rnacentral:lncRNA from 1 species
ACUAUAACUAACUCUCUUAAUCUGUUUACAAGUGUCACAAUCCUAUGUGUACAUUAUCUCUAACAACAAACACCGAAGUGUUGGACAUAAUUUUGCAUGAUACAAGUAACUAUAGCCUAGAAAGAAGCAGGCAUUUCUCAAAGUCAUGCAAUUAAAAUUGUCUGUCUGUGAGCCUCUCGCAAAUUCAUCAAUCGUGAUAGAGUAGGUAAGAAUGUGAAUAAAUGUUACACAUCAAAAAUUUACAAAAUUUUGCAAGGGCCUAUAAGAAGUUGGGUGAUCUAUUACCAAUUGGGUUUUGGUUGGAUCAUCAAAGAAGUUUGUUACUAAGUUGAUUAAGGACAUUCACUCUUGCACAGAAGGUCUCAACUUCAGUUCUCCUCUCCCGCAAAUCACUUGUGUAAAAAUUAAAAAGUAAAGAGAAAAAAAAAUAUAAUGAGAAAUAAUCAAAUGUGAGUAUCUACAAUCACGUGUUUAUUUUUCACCUAAUUUCUUAAUUAGGUGUGGUCAAUUAUGUAUAAAUUUUUUUUUUCGUAUUAGGUGUAACAAAUUAUAUAUAAACAUAUUUUUUCCUCUCUUGAGAAUAGAGAUAAAUAGAUGGUUAAUUAGUUUUGCUAUACAAAUAAUAAGCAAACAAUGUGGGACUGCAAAGUUUUUGAUAAUUGAGUUCACAUUGCACUACCAAAUUGCCCAAAAGAGAGAACCAUAUUCUCCUCUCCUUUUGGCAAUUUUUUCUCACUAGCGAUUCGAGCUAAAAGGAUUUACAUAUGUUCUAUACUAUAUCGACUUUAAAAAUUAAAUAAACUGUUAAUUUUUCAAGCAAAGCGAUUCCUUCGAAUAUAUUGUAAAAUAUGUGUAGAAAAUAUAUUGUAAAAAAACUCACGAAUAAGCAAAACAGAUAGCCAAAGGUAGAGACAGAGUGAGAGUAAAGAGAUACCACUUACGUGGUUCGACAGCGUCACUUUGUAUCCAUGUUCAUGGGAAGGGAAGAUUGCAAGUAAUUUCUGCAAUCUCAAUCUCACAACUAUAUACAAUAUACAGAACCAAUUGAUAUACUUCAAAAUAAUCUCUACUAAUUAAUGAAACCCUCUUUGUCAACCAAAAGAGGGUGAAAAGACAACUUAGUCUUCUAUCCUACAAAAAAAUGAUGGGCAAUAAUGUAAUUUCACAUGUUCAAAUUUUACUAUUUUUUAUUGAAGCCUCACCUACAUGUGAUGUUAAACUACCUCCAAUAUUUAAAAAAAUUAAACAAAAAUUAAACAAAAAACCAAAAACAAAAACCUCCCACUCCCCCACGUUCUCUCUCUCCCUCUCUCCUUCUCAUUUUCUAAAAAACUGUGUUCAUACACACAAAAUGUGUAGACAAAUGCUAGUUAAUUAAUAAAGAAAAGGAGAUUAAGAAGAUCAAUAAUGCAAUUUGAUAUUAUUGUUUACACAAUCUCUAAUAUAUGUCUUAUCAUUUUAUAGAUGGCUCACAUGUAUUAAAAAAGGUAUUGCUAUCCACACACCAUUUUUCAUUUCACACACACCUUUAUCAAUUUACAGUCGUCAGAUCAAAUGAAUUGAAGAAGAUCAAUAACAAAAAUUAACGAAGAUGUGUGAAAUAUAAAAAUAAGUGUGUAAAAAAUAAAAAUAAAUAUGUAAAUAGCAUUGUCCUUAGUAUAAAAAAUGAUGUCACUCUCAUAUUUCAUAAAUUGCCAACAAACGAUCUCAAAAAGUAAUAAAAUAUAAAGAGUAAAUGGAUUAGGGGAACUGAAGGAGGACAACCAUACAAACUGGUGCCAAAUGGGAUUAAACAAGGUUGUACAAGAAAGACAACAUGAUUACAAAUUCACGUAUGAAAUCAAUGUUGAGACGGAAAGAACAUUAUUGUCCUUUGACUAGGAGGUAACCCUAUUUAUAAAAGGCAUAUAUAUGGCAUCAAUAUUUGACGCCGCAACCCUUUAAUUCGAUUAGAAACGCCUUUGGCGAUGCCCCAAAGAGCUUUGCUUUCCCCAAAAGAUAGGGGUUUGAGUUUUACUUAAAGGACAAAGAGAUCAUCCUUGUAAAUAAGGCGGCAAAUAAAAGGUGUCCUUGUAAUUUAAUGGAUAAAGAGAAUAAAGAGAAAAGAGAGACAUUGUGCUAUACCUCUCUUUCAACGUUAAUUAUGAUGCAUUUUGAAGGAUAAAAACAUUAUGCUUCACAUGAAUGACAAGAAAGAAUUAAUGCAUAUGAUAUGGAUAUUGUUAACGUGAAUAUCUGGUUGACCCAGUCCACUCUUGCUAUGUCACCGUUGGAUGGAAGACUCGUUGACUGAGGAUCGCCGUUGGAUGUAUUACUUGUUGAUUGAGGACUAGAUCACCGUUGAAUAAGAAACCCUUUGGCACGUGAUAGACCAUCUCUUCUAUGGUCUGCUCAGUGGUUAGUUCUUCUAGAGUGUUCAGCCAUCUUCCAGAAUGACAACCUCCCCCAAGGGGUCAGCUCUUCCCAAGUGUUUAGCCCUCUUUGGGAAUGACCACCACUUGAAUGAAGGUCAUUUGACUAUUUAACAAAAGACUAGAUUUUUGUUAGUCUUUAGAUAUUUAUCUAAUGGAUAGGAAGCUGCCUAUAAAAGAAAGGCAUAAGCACCAAGAAAACGACGAUCACACAUUCUCCACUAGACCUCCCUCUCUAUGUAUAUCGUUAGGGAUGACAAUUUUAACCGUUAAAACCGAUAACCGUUGAUAACUACCUGAAAGAAUAAGAUUUGGGUAUGAAAAUUCGGGUAUAUUUUGGAUAUGGAAAAAAACCAUGAAUAAUAUUCGGUUAUGGUUUUGGAUAUGGUUAUAGGGUCCCCAAUCCAUAUCCGUCCCUGAAUCCGAACCGAAUUAUAUAUAAUAUAAUUGUAUUAUAUAAUAUAUAUAUAUAUAUAUAUAUAUAUAUAUAUUAUUCACUGAAUCCAUUACCUUGAGAAUACAAAAGUUGCACUGUUUGAGUUGCAUUUUGUGGGCAAGUUAAAAAGUUUUGAUAUGAAUCAAAAUCUAUGAGAAUCCAGAACAAUAGUACUUAUGGGAGAUAUCAAAGAUUAGCCAACAUUAUCAAUGUUUAACUUUAAAUUUUAUGCUCCACAAGAUCCAUUCAUUAAAUCAUUUUAUACAUCAAUAUUUAAUGACGAAAUUAAUAUUUAUUAAGUUAUCAUGCGUCAAUUGAACAUAUAUAUUUUUUGCAUUGACGAAGAUGGGUAUAACCGUUAACCGAUGGGGAAUCCAUUACUCAGUGGGUACGGUUAUGGAUAAUACCCGAUGGUUAAUUGAUGGUUAUGGAUAUGGUUAAUUUUCAUGGUUAUGGGGAUGGAUAUAGCAUUUUCGUCCUCAAAUCGAACCAUUGCCAUCCCUACAUAUUGUAAUUAGGGAUGCAACUUGGGUUGGGUCAACCCGAAUCCGCCGAUGCUUAACUCGAUUUCAAACCCGAUUGAGCAAGUUAAAAUGAAGUAAAAGCCUGCCCAAACCUAACCCGACAUCAACCCGAUUAUUUGUUGGGUUGGGUUGAUGAUUUGCCCGUCCAUGUCAACCCAAACCCAACCCGAUUUCUAGCCCGAAUUGUUCAUGUACAUAUUACCUUUCCACUUCAUAUUAUUAUGGGAACUUUAACGAAAAGCCCCCGAUACUGUUCAUUUUAACGAACCACAUUUUUACACUAAAAAGUCAAUCCUGGUACUAUUCACUUUACCCUUUAAUUUUUCCUUUUCGUUAAAACUCAAAGUUUUCAUGUUAUUUUCAUUAGUUUUCCUUAUUAUAUAAGCUAGAUACAAGUUUGGGAGGGCUAUACUUGAAGUUUGUUGUUUCAUUUGAACAAUGAAUGAUUGUGUUGAUUUGAUGUUUCUUUUGGUUAAAACGUUGGUAUUGUCUAUGUAAAUUUGAAUUUUAAAUCUUUUUGACAUUAUUUAGUUCAAAAUAUGAGAUUUAUCUUAUAAAACAAUGUAUUACAAUAUUGAAAUUGAUAAAGUUGGGUAAACCCAAACCCAACCCGAAUAAGCUUGAACCAAUUUAAACCCAAACCCGAAUAAAAUCGCAUGAACCCAAACCCGAAUUAGGAAUGUUGAGUUAGAGUUGUGCUGACCAUCUAACUCACCCGAGUUGCACCCCUAAUUGUAAUAAGCCCAAGGUUUCUCUCCUUUUCAUGUAAUAUCCAUAUAAAAGCAUAUAUACAAUACUACUACAGUGGGCGUAGCUGGUUAAAGCCUUAUAAGGAAACAAAAUUAUUGCUAACUCAUCGUGAGGCUAAGCUCAUCCCUUCAUUCUUAGUGUAGAUAAUAUCGUUUGUUAAAAAAAAAAGUCGUCUAUUAAUUUAACGAAUAUUAAAUAAUUAAUAAGUUAAUAAUUUAUUAAUUUAUCGAUUAAUUCAUAACAUAUUGUUUUAUCAAGGUGUUCUUUAUUUUCUUAAGUUUUCUACAUCAUAUUUAGUUGCUCGUUUUACGAAUUAAUAUUUUUUUAUAUUUGUUUAACCAAGUAAAAUUUAUGAAUGUAUUCAUUUUUUCCAAAAAUAGAUAAUAUUGUUCAGUGUACUACAUAUUUAAUUCUAUGAAACAUAUAACCAAGCAAAAGCAGUAUGUGUGUGAGGAUGUGAAGGUAAAAAAGUCCCACAUUGGUGAAAGGAGAAACUUUGUAAGGACUUAUAAGAGGUUUUGUUACUUCUCAUAUUGCCAAUUGGUUUUAUGGUGGAACCCUAACUUUUUUCAUGGUAUCAGAGUAGGUUGGCUCACGUGUGAAGUCCAACGACCACAUAUGCUCCACGUCACCCAAUUCGUGUUGUCCACGUGUUUGGCUUAAAAAUUCGCUACACAUGAAGGGCUGUGUGAGGAUGUGAAGGUAAAAGAGUCCCACAUUGACAUUGGUGAAAGGAGAAACCCCAAAGCAAGGGCUUUGACAUUGGUGAAGGAGAAACCUUGCAAGGGCUUUAUGCUCUUCCCAUAUUUCCAAUUGGUUUUAUGGUGAAACCGCAACUUUCUUCAUCAAGAAAUUAUUAAUUUAUAUAUUACGUGGGACCUAUACGAAUUUAUUAUAAUGUAUAUCUUACAAAUUUAGCGAAUAAUUAAUUUAGCACGUUAUCCCCAAGUCGAGACCAGCCAAAGAUAUUAUUUAUAUGAGGUUACUAAUUUAUCGAGUAUCAAAUUAUCAAGGUUCCAUUGUAUUUAAUAUUACCUAACUUAAUAGAUUUUCCUUGGUCCCAAGGUUAUUAAUUUGUAGAGGUUUAACUAUAACUGAAAACAAAAAAGACACUACAAGAUUGCCAAAAAGGCUACAUAACUCGAAAAGAUCUUGACACGUUUACGUCUACAGAGUUACAAAACAUCAUAUUUAUAGAUAACUAGCCCUAAUCCUAAUACACAAAAAAUCCAAAUCCUUAAUCUAUAAGAAAAUUAAUCAUUUAAAAAAUUAUAUAAUAAUAAACUAAAAAACCUAAUUUUUCAACAAAAAGUAAUUUGUGAGACUCAUCUCUAAAUUAAUUUUUCAACUAGUCUGGACAAUUGUUCAUGUUGGCAGAUAAUAUCACGAUAGGAUAUUUCUCUAACUACGUACACGCAAGACUCAAUCCCCAAAUUUAUGGAAUAUGGACACUUAUAGCUUGUUUGGAAAUGCUUUUAAAAUGGCUGAAAACUGUUAGCGCUCAAAUAACAAAUUAAGAUAAUAAACCCUUAGAGGGUUCUAAGUACAAAAUGAAAUGAAUUGGACCCAAAGAUUUAAGUGGUUCACCCCUCAAAAUUAAGCUACAUCCACUGUGGUACUUGGAUUCAUAUUGAUAUUAAGACUAAAAUGGCGCUCGGCAAAUAAAAAUGCUCUCACCCUUUCAGUUAUCCUACCUCCAUUUAGGAGGUCUUUCCCUUUUAUAUAGGCCCUCAAUGAACCCCUCAACUUUAAGUCUUCCCACUUGGCAUUUAAUGCACCACUUACUUGGCCUAAAAUGCUAACAUCUUUUCCCUUUUCAAUCCCAACAUUCAGUUGUGAAAUGAUUGGCGCUCAGCUUGAAUAGCAUGUCCUGUCAUAAUAGUACGAGCUGAGCACUCCGCUCAGUCUCGGUUAUCCAACCCCGCCUACCUGAGCACCGUUCCAAUUGCCUUUACGUCUUGCCCUAAGCCUCUAUCACUGAAUGAUGGUUGUCAUGCGACAUGAUUGGCAUCUGGAUAGACCUGUCUUUUGGGAACUAGUGCCAUAAAGUUGUCAGUCUGUUCACGUGCCCAUAGCGGUCAUAAGCCUUCUUGCGUUCCCAUGCUGGAUUGAUGGGCGGUCAGUUGUUUUGCUCGGACAUAUCCUCUUCUAAGCCUUUUGGGCCUUGAUCUUCUCGAUCUUUCUUGGGCCUCCUAGCUAGGGCUUUCGUCUUGGCAUGCACCACUAUUUGGGCUCAAAAGUGCCAUGCGUUAACAAAAACACUUCUGGUGAAAAUGUUUUUGAAAUCAAUCAUUAGUAAAAAUGCAAAUAAAUCCUGAAAUAAGUACUUAAAAGUGCUUCUUGGAAGAAACACAUAACUGAUGCUUCUUGCAGAAAACACUUUAAUUGCUUUUGGAACCUAAAAACAUUUUCUCUAGCUAAAAGCGCUUUCAAUCAUUUUAAAAGUACUUCUAAACGAACCCUUAAAUUUCUAUCAGGAUAAUAAAUAGGAAAACUAAUGAAAAAAUGAUUGAAAACUUUGAGUUUUAACCAAAAUGACAAAAAUGUGUUAUAAGUGAAUAGUACUAGGAGUACUUUUUAGAGUAAAAAUAUCUUUAACGUUAAAAGUGAACAGUACUAAAAGUGUUUCGUUAAGACUCCCAAUAAAUAAACCCUUCUCUUUUUCUAUCCUGUUGGAAUAUCAGAUCAUUCCCUAGGAUAAAAACUAAAAUGAAUGACUGGUAGUUUGGUACUAUAUAGAGUAGUCUUCGAUCAGGAACGAAGAUAAAGUUCCAAGACCUGAGAGUCUCAGACCGAUUCACUCCUUAUCAUUAAAGACCAAUGCUAACAUGUGCGCUUUGAUGUGGUCUUACUUGUUGGCAAUGACAUUACGUGUACCUAGUUUAGGUUCGUUGCAUCUGUCGUAUUUGUAGUGGAUGUUAGGGUAAAAUUGGCUAUUCCUAAACAAAACGUAUGAGUUUGUAAUCUUAGACUAGUGCUUGUUUUCAGUUGUAAUUAUUUUAGUCUAAGUUUGUCUCACGUGCUCUCGAUCACAAAAUGGCAAGCGUUUCAGAGACAUCCACUCAAGUAAGUUUGUCAUGCAUAAGGAUUUCAUGUAGUUAGGUUUAUCUUGGUUCAAAUACAAAUACAUUUAGUUUUGGCUGCAUGUUCUUGAACUUAACGAAUCGACUGAUUUGGUUAUAUGUUAUAGACUAAACUUUAGGUUUGUACUUAAUGAAUCAGUUCACCUUUGUUGCCGUGUUUGCAUAGGAUGUUAGUUAACAUCUAAUUAACUUGAUAAUUUUGCAUGUUUGUCAAGUUGAUAAUUAUGAGAGUUUUUUUGUUUUGUUAUAAUCCAAUCACAUGCAUAUCUAUUUUGCAUGUUUAUCAAGUUGAUAAUUACAAGAGUUUUUGUUUUGUUUUAAUACUAUCACAUGCAUAUCUAUUUUGAAUGCAUUAUCUGAUUCACGUUUGGUUUAAUUGCAUUGAUUGGAUAUUAUAUAUAGGACUGUAUUUAGCCCUUUAAAAUUGGCUGCAUAUGCAUUUAGGUUUUCCCGAUGGUAUAAACACGAGCAGCAAUGCAUUAAACAGAGAGAAAAAUUCUUGUGCCGCAUGUCUAGGGUUAAGUCAGUUUAUAUUUUCAUCUUGAUGAAUCAGAGUAGGUUUUUAGUUUUGCUUUUACCACAUGAUAUAUCAUUUGAAAGCAAACGUUUGUUAGCGGCCCUAAGUGCACCGAGAGUCAUCUUCGUUUAAGAAAAAUCAGUUUUAUUGCCAAGUUUUUCAAAGAAAAUAUUAGUUUUUGUUCACUGAUUUUUCAUGCGCUUUAAUUAGAAAUCAAUUAUGAAAAUGUGCCUUGUGAUUUUCAUAAUUGGUUGAUUUCCAAAAAUCAUUUCAUUACAUACAUUAUGCACGAUCGCGUUAGUAUCUUGCAAAGUUCGAGGCGACAGUGAUUGACGGCCACGUUAGUAUCGUGCCACUUCAAUUAGAAGGCUGAAGAGAGAUCGAGUAGCAAAGCGCGGAGACAGAACUGCCUACUAGUAUGUGUGUCUAGUAUGAGUUUUGUAAGUCUUUCUGUACUCAUUUCUCUUAGUGUUUGUCCUGUCUUGGGAGCCCGACGAUUUUCCCAGUGGUGGGUUUUGCCUCGUUAAAUCCUACAUCAUGUGUGCACGUUUUAUUUAUCGUUUUAAUUGCAUAUGAGUAUGAUAGUUUGAUAUGUGAUGUGAAUGUGGAUUUAAUUUGAGAACAGAAAAUUAAAUUGAAAUUUGAAUUGGAUUUUUAAAUUGGAACCUAUUCACCCCCCUCUAGGUUAAACUAGUACCAUCCUAGAACUUUCAGUGGAUUACAUCUGUACAUUUGUGGUAGUACGACAGUGCUUGUGGUAGCCAAUUACGAAAUUAUCUUUAUACUUUUUUGUGCAAAUUAUCUUCAGAUCAUUGAAAAAUAUAAUGAUGUGACAACACAGGUAUUUGUUCUUGUUUGCUAAUAAAACUACAAUAACUUUUUGUCAACAAAAACAAAAAACAAAAAAAAAAAAAAAAAAAAAACCUAGUGCUACCCCAUUUUGGAAUUAGUACUUACAAAUUACAAGCUAGCAUUUCAAAGCACCGAGCACUCUUUCUCUGGACUGGCCUUUUGCUUUCAUGAGUUUCAUCUUUUGGAAUGAGCUAGGCCGAUUAGAUAAAAAGACAUUUAGACCAUCUUCAAAAGAGACGUCAAAUAUGCCAAAUAUGAUUAAAAGAUAUUUAGGUGUUCUUCAAUCGAUAUGCCAUAUAUGAUGUGGCAUGUGAGUCAUUUGACUCCUUUGCUUUCUAGCUGCCUUUUUUGACAACAAAGAACGAAUGAGUCGAAUAUAUUUAAUUGAAUUUUUUAAUACAUUAAUCCCAUUAACGUCCAAUAGAAUAAAAACUACCAUUAAUUUUGAUUAUUUUUUAAUAGUUAAUGUAACUUUAGACCCAAUAAAAUAAUAAAAUAAAUAUUAACACAUCCAUUAGAAAAGAAGAGAAUUUAACACUUGUAUUCAAUUUGCCACAUAAGCCAUCAAAUAAAAUUUUAACAUAUUAUAUUUGACAUCUUCUUUAAAGAUGCUCUUAGUACCCUGCCUAAACCCUAGACGCUAAAUGUUGUACAACUAUACAUAUGCACAACCGGACAUUCAAAUUUUGAUUGCCAAAAAACUCUAACGAGCCAUCGACCAUGUAAAUUGCGGAAUUUUUUUCGAGCUAAAACGAUAUUUGUAUUAGAUGUAAAACCAACACACAAUGCACAGUGGGAAUGUACAGGUAACCUAACUGAAUGGAGAUAUAAUGAAAUAGGUACAAAUAAAUACAUAGUCCUCCAACUACAUUCAUAAUCUUAUACUAUUUCCGCAAGGAAAUAAAGAUAUAAGCAUGUGGUCCAAUAUCUUAAUAAAUAGAGUGUUAGGUUUCUACUAUUGCAUCCCGUGUUCGAAACUCUCCCACCCUUCAAUAAUAAUAAUUUAAAAAAAAAACAUUCAUAAUCUUACACUCUUUCCGCAAGAUGGGAGAAGGAACCAACAUAAAAGUUUAUUCGUUUAAUUAUAUCCAACAAGGAUAUCUUGUAACCUCAAAAAAAGAAGCACAACAUAAACAUACAUAACAAGACAAACAAUUUAUGUACGCUAAAUUUUGAUUAACCAUCUCAAGCACAUGCAAGCAACAAUAUGGAUUUCACAUAAAUAUAAUUCUUCAAAACCUUUGUCCUACAUAUAUAUAUACUUUUUUUUUCCUUGCAAUUGUUUAAUCUGAGAUUAGCCUUUGAUGUUUGAUGGUUUAUUAACUAAUUAAUCAAGAUCAGAAAAUAAUAUCAAGGCCCUGACCCAGCAAGCAACUAAGAUUGUGUAGCUAAGAUAUAGCAAUUUCUUUAGAGCAAGUCCACCCCUAAAGACUUUGCGCCAGCACCAAGCCUAUUUAUCCACUCAAGUGAACAGUGAUAGACUUUAAUGAACAGUAAUAGACAAAUGCAUCUCCACCCCUAAAACUAAAUAGCCUAGUCAAUUUUAUUAAAAUAUUAUUAAUUUUUAUUAUAAAUAAUAAUUUGGUUUUUUACUUUCUAACUUCUUCCUUCUUCUUCUUCUGGAAAUGAAUCUCCUCCUCAUUUCUCUCUCUCUGUCACGCACGCGCACAUGUACACACCAAAAUCCUCUCUGUGUGGCCACAAAACCCCUGGAAAUCCCACCAUGCAUAACCCUUCAGUUGCAACCCAGGAACCCAGUUCGGUCUACGACCUCGUUUCUCAAUUGGGUCGGUUCGCCUUCAGCUCAGGGCCUCAUAGCAGCUCUGAUUCUGAUGGGCACUCCUCGUUUUUGUCCAAUUUCUUGUAUUUCGACGCCUUUGGGGGUGCUUCAGUUGCCGGGAAGAAGCCCAAGGUCGGCGUUUCAGCUUCACUGAGCUUGAGCAGUCGCGGCGGUUUGGGAAUUUGGAGGAGUGUGACGGAGUUUAAUCGGGCUAUACGGUUCCACUGUGAGAGAGAAGGGGGUUGAUGGGGUUCCAGGGAUCGGGUUCAGGCGUCGGAUGGGGUUCCGGAUGAGAGAGAUGGUAGCCAUGAUGUCAACAUGACGUCAAAUGAGCCGUCUCCUUCCUCUGUCAAUUUUAAGCCAGCCUGUGGACUGGCUUGGGCUGGGUGCCAGUCUAUUCCACGAGCUGGAGUGAAUUAGCUGAGUCCCAGCUUGUUUUUUCCACUGGGUGCCGGGCUAUUCCACCUCCGGUGGAACUGCUCUUAUAAUAUAUGCAAUAUUAUGUUCAAGUUUUUGUUUUGUUCAUAGCAUGAAAAAGCUUCUUAACUUAUUAAUUUGAAUGACAUACGCAUGCAAAGCAACGCCUGAAUCUGAAAAUUAUUGUCCUUAUCUGAUUAUUUCUUUAUAAAGGUUUUGUUUUAGUUUGCAGUUUUAUCGAGAGCAGUACUUCCAGGACCAACAUCAGUUGGAGGGUUUUUCGUUUUGACUAACUACAGCAUGUACGACUGCAUGUGUAAAUACACACACUAUAAAACUAGAAAUAAUAUUUUAUGAAUCGAAACCAAAGGGACGCUAUUAUCAAGAAGGGUACAAAAUUUGAAGAGGACAUCUUAACUGACUUGUUACUCUACGAGUUACAAAACAUCAUAUUUAUAAGAAAAAACAACUAAAGCAAACCCUAAUCCUUGAAGAGCAAACAAAUCAUAAACUUAACGAGCAAAUAACUUUAAUCCUUAACCCACAAGAAAAUCAAUAAAAAAACAAUAAUAUUAAAACUAAUUUUCCAACAAAGAGAGACCAAACAAUUGAACACAUGAUAAAUGCAUAGCGGGCACUUUUAGGCAAACCAUAAUGUAGAAAACCAUAUUUGAUUGAGAUCAACAUAGAUUAUGUGUGUGUGUGUGUAUAUUUACCUGGGUAACAGUUGGAACUCCAAUCAUCACCGGCGUCCUCCACUAGCUAGCCCGAUGUCGUUUCUUCCUUUCAAGGUGCAACAACAAUAGAGGAUGAGGAGGUAUGAUAGAGAGGGCGGGAGGGCAUGAGAGUAGCAAUCGCAAUGACAACAAAAUAUAUCCAACUCGAUGCUACAUAAAGCGCUAGGGUUAAGUUUUGUUUUGUUUUUUUUUUUUUUUUUUUAACAAACAAUAUUAUCUACACUAGCCUUAGCUACAUAUAGGCUAGCAAUAAUGUGAUUCAAAUUUGUCGUUGACGAGAAUUGAACCUAAGACCUCUCAUUUACAAAUAAAGAAGAAUAUCACUAGACCGUAAAGAUAAAAUUCUAGGUUUUGGAUGAAUAUUUGUUCUAAAGUUAUUCUUUUCACAUAGAGGAAUAUAUAGGCUUAUACAAUCUCCUACAAACUAGGAAACAAAUAUCGCAAAUCUACAAGGAUACCAAUUACAUAUUUUAUACCCAAAAUAACUUUACAUUCCUUAUUCCCUAAAAUUGCCUUAAGCAACACUCCCCCUCAAGUUGGUGCGUAGAUAUCACCUAGGCCCAACUUGUCCAAUGAGUUCUGAAACACCUUUGUCACCACUACAUGCGUCAACACGUCAGCCAACUAAUCUUCGGAUCUUACGUAUGGAAUAUCAACUAACUUAACAUCCAACUUCUCUUUGAUAAAAUGUCUAUCCACCUCAACAUGUUUUGUACGAUCAUGUUAAACUGGAUUAUAAGCUAUUUCUCACGCAGCCUGAUUAUCACAAUAUAAAAGCAUCGCUCCACGUGGCUUGAAUCCAAUCUCUGUUAGAAGAAUCCUCAGCCAUAAUAACUCACAAAUCCUAUGCGUCAUCCCAUGGUAUUCAACCUCUACCGUGGACCUAGCCACCACAUUCUGUUUCUUGCUCCUCCAAGUCACAAGAUUUCCGGCAACAAAUGUAAAGUACACUGACGUCGAGCGUCUAUCAGUAAUGUUCUCGGCCCAAUCAGCAUCAGUGUACCCUUUUACCUCCAUAUGCCCAUGUUUCCUGAAAAUCAACCCUUUUCCAAGUGCACCUUUCAAAUAACUCAAUAUCCGCAUAACAGCAGCCAUGUGAUCCUCACUAGGAGAGUGCAUAAACUAACUUACUACACUAAUAACAUAUGUAAUAUUUGGUCUUGUGAGAGACAAAUAAAUCAACCUUCAUACUAACCUCCGGUAUAUUUCCCUGUUUGUUGGAACUUGGUUUGGGUAGAUAGCCAAAUGAUGAUUUUGAACUAUAGGUGUUUCUGCUGAUUUGCAUGCCAGCAUCCUAGUCUUAAACAAAAGAUCUAGAACAUACUUUCGCUGAGAUAAUUAAAUGCCGUCACAGGAACGAGCAACUUCAAUCCCCAAGAAGUACUUCAAACCUCCUAAAUCUUUCAUCUCAAACUCAUAAGAAAGAUACUUCUAUAAUCUCUCUAUUUCCUCUGUAUCAUCACCUGUAACUACCAUAUCAUCAACAUAUAUUAUCAACAAGGUAACCUUUCCUCCCAUGCGUUUGAUAAACAAGGUGUGAUUUGCAUUCCCUUGUUGGUACCCAUAUUUCUUCAUUGCAUUAGUGAAUCUUCCAAACCAGGCCCUCGACGAUUGUUUGAGUCCAUAAAGAGCCUUUCGUAGUUUGCAUACUUUACCUGCUUUAUUCUGCACUUCAUACCCAAGUGGAAGCUCCAUAUAUACUUCAUCCUCCAAGUCUUCAUGUAGAAAAGCAUUUUUCACAUCAAAUUGUUUCAACGGCCAAUCAAGGUUAGCAGCUAAAGACAAAAAAACCCGUAUAGUAUUCAUCUUUGCUAUCGGGGCAAAUGUUUCCUGAUAAUCUACUCCAAAAGUUUGUGUGUACCCCUUUGCUACCAACCUUGCCUUGUAUCUGUCAAUGGUUCCAUCGGCCUUGUGUUUGAUGGUGAACACCCAUUUGCAUCCCACUGGUCUCUUUCCUUGUGGUAUUGACUCCACGCUCCAAGUUGCAUUUUCUUAGGGCCUUCAUUUCUACCUCAAUUGCUUCUGUCCAUCGAGGAUCCCGCAAAACUUUUUCCACUUUUGUUGGAAUUUUGAUUUCAUCCAUUGUAUUCACCAAGGCUUGGUACUUGGAAGACAGUCGGUGCGUAGAGACAUACUUUGCAAUAACAUAUCUAAUUUUCCCAUUCGGAGAAUACCUGUAAGGAGGUUUCCCACGAUUUUGUCUAGGGGCAAUACAUAAGUACUUUCAAUGUUAGUCAAAUUAUGAGCUUCAUUAGAUUGGGAUGUACUUACCUCAUGGAUAUCCUCGGGGGCACAGACAGGUACAAUUAGAGAAGGGUUAUUUCUUGAAGUGUUUAGAUUGUCAAAAUUAGUUAAAGGUUGCAGCCUGCUGCUACAAGGCCCAAUCUUUGCACUGUUGUCAUAGAGGUUUUCGAUCCUGCUGCAUGGCCCAAUCUGUGCAUUUUCAGAACGGCUUUCAGCCAUUAGAUCCUCGGGCCCACUUGUCAAGCUCUCGGCUCUUAGGCCCUCAGGCCCACCCAUAUUUUCUUCCAAUCUCGGCAAGCCCAGAUUUGGCUCAUCCAAGCUAUUGGGCUCACAAUUUUGACCCAUAUGACCCGCUGCAGGACCACGAUAGGUGUUGUCCACCACAUAACCCACUGCUAGACCAUGGCAGGUGUUAUCCACUGGCACAGUUGGCAAAUCAAUCCAACUAUAAUCUUCAUUUGUGCUCGUCUCCCCCUGAAGAUUAUGGUAGGUGUGUUCAGUGAGAAAAACAUCUCAUGCUCAGAAAAUGUAACAUCCAUGGUGACAUACAUAUGCUUGGUUGGUGGGUGAUAACAUCGAUACCCUUUUUGCUGAUUAUUAAAUCCCAGAAAAGACAACGAAUUGCACAUGGGUCCAACUUACUGCAUUGAUUUUUGUGAAGAUGUACAUAGGCCACACAACCAAAGAUACGUGGAGAUAAAUGAAGAGAAGAUGGUAAUGUCACAUGAUCAGCAAAAACUUCCAAAGGAGUACGAAAAUUAUGCACUCGGGAUGGCAUUCGGUUCAUGAGAUAAACAGAGUAUCUAACGACAUCCGCCUAAUAAGAGUGAGGAGCGUGAACACCAAUGAGGAGUGCACGAGUGGUUUCUAAAAUAUGUCCAUUUUUAUGUUUCGUGACACCAUUUUGUUGCAGGGUUUGUGGGCAAGUAGUCUCAUGAAGAAUACCGUGCUCCUAAAAAUUUUGAGAGAGUUCAGUGUUGAGAUAUUCCCCGCCAUUAUCUGACCUGAGAACCUUAAGGGGAAGAGAGUAUUGAUUUUUUAACCAUGCAAUAAAACUGGUGAAAAACGAUCCAACCUCACUUUUAUGUUUCAUAGUAUACAACCAAGUCAUUCGGGUGCAGUCAUCCACAAAGAUAACAAACCAACGAACCCCAUGAUUAGUAGAUAUUGGAGAAGGCCCCCCCCAUACAUCAGAAUGAACUAACUCAAAAUGAACGGUUCUUUUAUUGAAACUUAAUUGAUAAGAAGUACGAUGAUUUUUUUUGCAAGAAUGCAAUCAUUACACUGGAAAUUAGAGUCUGAAAUGCCAUGAAAUAAAGACGGAAGCAAUUUUUUCAAUAACCAAAAGAUGCAUGCCCUGAUCGACGAUGCCAUAACCAAAUUGUCUUAUUCUUGUUAUGGUGGCCACUUCUCACUUGGCAAUACAUCAUCCACAUAAUAUAACCCUCUCCUCUUAGUACCACGCCCAAUUAUCGCCCGAGUUUGAAUAUCCUGAAGGAGGCAAAAAGUGGGAAACAUUAACACAACACAAACUAAUUGCUUAGUAACUUGACCAACAGAAAGUAGAUGAUUGGAUAAUGAUGGAACAAUAAGUGUGUUGUGAAUCGAUGAAGAUGGAGUAAGGGAAAUAGAACCUGCUCCCGUUACAGGAGCAACAUCACCGUUGGCUAUAAUAACAUCAUCUUUAAAUGGUGAAGUCAUGUGAUAAAACAAUGAUGCAUCAUAAGUCAUAUGGUCUGUAGCUCCUGAGUUAAUUAUCUAACCAUUAUCUCUUUUGGUAGAUGUUAUUAAAACAGUAUCGAUUUUACCUAAAUUUUCUGAGUCGUCACCCAUUGAAAUUUGGUUGAUUAAGGAUAGAAGUGGGCAUGUUCUAGUUUUUGUGGAUCCUGCCUCUGAAGUCGGCCUCACAUAAUUAGCUGUCGAGAUUUGACUUGACGGGCUGAACCUUGAUUGACUUGCUACAACAGUAGCUACCCCAACCCGUAUCAGCUCGUUCCUGUUGGGCUUUGGGCUCAGCUUGGCUUCCUACGGCACUCGAUCCAGCUCUUGAUCCAGUGGCUGCCACUCGGGCUUGUCCAGCCCGUUUGUUCCCUCUUGCAUUUAGUUCAUUUUCCUUUCCCAGUACCAUUCUGGGUACCUAUGAAUUUCAAAACAUGUCUCAUCAGUGUGUCUCGUUCCACUACAAUGAUUGCAAUGGAGUUUGUCUUUAUCGAUAUCCUCCUAGGUUCGGAAUGAUCGAGAAUUUCCAUUGGAUGGUAGACGAGAACUAGGUGCCUUAGUUGCCAUAGCCAUAGAAGGUACUGCCAUUGUAGUCUUUGUUCCCAUCAUAGUGGGCUGCCUUUAGGAUUCACGUCGUACCAAAUUGAAGCAUUCUUCGAUUAUGGGGAUAAGUUUCAUCCUGAGAAUCUCACUCCGAACUUGGUCAAAACCACUAUCUAAUCCAACAAGAAAAUCAUACACCCUAUCCUUUGCAAGUUCUUGUUUAUGAGUUUUCAAAUCUACUCCACACACCAUACGGAGAGGACGUCUUUUGUCAAGGUCCUGCCAUACACCUUUCAGUUCAGUGAAGUUAAUUGGACGACCAUCUUAUCUCGUCCGUGUAGCCUUGCACCGAAGUUCAUAGUAUUGUGACUCAUCAGAACCAUCAUAAAACAUCUGUGUGACACUCUCCCAGAUAUCUUUAGCCGUGGGAAAAUCUAUAAAGAGGCCAAGCAAAUGUGGUUCCAUGGUUUUGAGCAACCACCCACGCAGAAUAGCAUCUUUUGUUGACCACUUCACAUAUCCUGGAUCAUCUUUAUCUAUCGCUGGGAUUUUCCCCGUUAGAUAUCCUUGUUUACCGAGACCUAAAACAUGAACUUCCAUCAUAUUCGACCAAACCUUGAAAUUAGUGUCGCUCAACCGAAACCCAAAAGGAAUGCCAUUGAUGUUGGUAGAUUCUCCUUGGACAGCCACGGGUUGCAUGGAAAUUAUGGCCCUACUUUUUUGUUCUACCAUUGUACCAAAGUUGCGAUUUAUCUUUGUCGUGGCUUUGUUGAUUCCAAAGACCACAAAGCUUUGAUAUUUCUGGGUUCAAGGUUUGAUGAACACUAGAAUUUGUUUCGACGGCUAGAGUAUACACGGGUUUAGGGUUUUUUCAAGAAGAGACAGGUCGAAACCUGCUCUGGUACCAAUAUAAAAUUCUAGGUUUUGGAUGAAUAUUUGUUCUAAAAUUAUUCUUCUCACAUAGAGGAAUAUAUAGGCUUAUACAAUCUCCUACAAACUAGGAAACAAAUAUCCCAAAUCUACAAGGAUACCAAUUACAUAUUUUAUACUCAAAAUAACUCUACAUUCCUUAUUCCCUAAAAUUGCCUCACGCAACACGUAAUACUACGUGGCAAGUUUUGUUUUAUUUUAUACAAGCACGAUUCUAUCAAUAUGUGGAUUAAAUUAUUAUUUUUAUAAAUUACCCAACUUUUAGCUUGAUUUUAAAAUGGCCUCAAUCUUUAAAAAUAUUUCAAAUAAAUACAUAACGCGUGGAAGGUAUCGGUUAGGUCACGAACAUUGAAGGUGGUGUGACCAAAUAUACUUAAUGACAUGUGCGGAUUUUCUCUGACACACCAUCUAUGAUGCUUUUAAUCCCCAAAACUGUCUGUUUUUGCUAAACAAAAUUAGAGUUGUGUCAUUGCUUAAUGUUUGUGACUAAAGAUGCAACUUGAAUAGGAAUAUCCAAUUUCGACCGAUUUUGAGCCGAAAUAUUCCAUUCAAUUCAAAUCCAAAACCAAAGUUCCGAUUCCAAAACUAGAAAUGAUAUGCGUUUCUAAAACUUUUUAGAUUGAACUGAAAACAUCAAAAUUAUCCAACAAGAAGCGAGCAAGUGAAUACAUGUUAUAGUUUUUUGAUAAAUGACUCGGUAACAUUAUAGUGUUAUUAGUGACGUUGAUCACUUAUGGAUUAUCAGCAUAAUGCCAAUUGCCAAAAUAAUAUAUCUUAUCUUACAACAGGUCAAGAUUUUAUUAAUCAAUUAAGCAUUGGCUAUAUAUAGCACGACCCAAGAAGUUUACUGUAUAUUUUGAUGGCUAUUUAAUUAUAUGAGGUUUAAAUUGAUAAUUCUAUCAUUGUUGUGGCUCCAACAAGUGCUAUUCGUGUCAUAUCAAUUGUUAAUCAUAUAUCUUAUCAUGAUAAUUAAUUAAGGAUACGUACCAAUGAGAAUCUAACUAAUGACAUAAUCAAGAUUUGACUUAGAAGAAUAUAAACACAUAAAUAUAUGGUGCAGUCUGAUCUAUGAGACUAUGACUCUGCCAAACCCUAAUCUUUCAGGAAAUAAUAAUAUAUUAUAAUAGGAAUAUAUCAUCGAAGGUCUGGGCUUAGAGCAAGUCCACCCCUAAAGACUUUACGCCAGCACUCAGCGCAUUAUCCACUCAAGUGAACAGUGAUAGACCACAAUGAACAGUAAUAGGCCAAUGCAUCUCCAUCCCUAAAAAAAAUAGCCUAGUCAAUUUUAUUAAAAAAUUAUUAUUUUUUAUUAUAAAAUAAUAAAAAAUAAUAAUUUUAUUUUUGAUUUCUGACUUUAUAAAAAAAUAUAUUAUUAUUAUUAAAAUAUUUUUAUUUUCUCAUCUUCCACACCUCCUUUCCCUUCCAUUUCUGCACGCCAUCCACCCCUGCACUUCCUACAUCUCAUGCAUCUCCUCACCUCCUGCAUCUCCACAUCUCAACAACUAGCUCCUCUACAGCAUCUCCACACCUCCGACGCCGUCGCUUCGUCCUCCCGUCGUUCUCCCUCCGUGGUUCCUUCCCUCUCGACAUCCUCUCCCGCCUUGAUCAGCUCCGCUCCUCAGCCUCCACAACAACUCCCUCUCUGCGCAACUCCCUCUCUGACGUCAUAUGCCCUCCGACGCCACGCUAACGUCAGAUAGGCCAGUCCCAAGGUCUGUCGAUUUUAGGCCGGCCUGUGGACUGGUUUAGGUUGGGUGCCAGUCGAUUUCACGGGCUGGAGUGAAUUGACAGGGUGCCAGCCUGAUUUUUUGACUGAGUGCUGGGCUAUUCCACCUCCGGUGGAACUGCUCUUAAUGGACAAGGAUUGUCUGCCCUCCCACUUUCGGUGCCUUCUCAUGCCCUCUUCUUUUGUGUGGUCAUAGUUAAGUCACGUCAACAUUUUUAUGUUAUAUUGUUUUUUAUAGAGAUAAUAAGACAAAAAUAAAUAGUAAUAUAAAAUGUUGACGUUGCUUAACCGUGACCACACAAAAAUGAGGACACGGGAGGGCAGAUAAUCCUUGUCCGGGCUUAAUUGGGUGGAUCGUGCGCUUUACAAUUACAUGACAUCAUAGCUUUGGCGAUGGUGGAAUUCCAAGUCAUGUUGAAAUGAGUUAGUCAUCUUUGUCGUCUAAAAGAUAUCAUUGCCACUCAUCUCUAAUGGGACGUCGUCGUAUAUUAUCAAUACCUCCUCAGCUCUACGUUGAAAGUACGUAUUCAUCUCCUUUAUUAUUCCGUCUUUAAUGCAUCUAGUGCCAUCCGUUAGUAAAAUACAUUACGAGUAUAGUAAUAAAAAAUUACAUACAUAUCGUGAAAUAAAUAGUGGUUGUUCUUAUACAAUGUAUGUUAGUAAACUAUCAUAAACUUCAUAAUAGUGUAGAGAAGUUUUUGGGUUACCAUAUAGAAUCUUCGGAUAACCACUCGUGCAUGUAUUUGAUGUCCCGUAUAAAAAUAGUCUAAUGAAAAUGGAAAUACACACUCUUCUUUCCUCCUCCUAAUCCCUAUCUUGUUUCUAUUUUCUCAAUGUAUCUCUCUAGCUAGUUCUCUUACCUCUCCUCUCUUUCCCUCUCCCCAAAUCCAACCCCUUCUUUCACACUCAAACUCUCCUCUUUCUCUCUCUUUAUCUCUCACUCUCACUCACUCUCUCACUAUCUCUUCUCACUCUCUCACACUCUCUCCUCUCUCCCUAUCUCUCACUCAAUCUCAAUCUUGCCAAAAUGUAUUUUCUUACUAACUUUUAAUUUAUUUUUCAUUAAUAUGUGUUUUUGGAGUUAAUUUUGUGUUUGGUUGGGGUUUGGGGUUGGGUAUAGGGUGAGGGGUGGAGUUUGGGGUUGGAUUUGGGGUAUGCCGAUUUUAGGGGAGGUUAUGCCCAUUUUUUGGUUUUUUUGGUUUUUUAUUUUUUUUUUUGUAAGGAAUCGUCGGGACUUUGACGGUGAAAGUUGAGGAGUUGAGGAUUAUGAUGCUAUCGGACCAUAUCCCCUGCCACCAUCACCACAAUAGAUUUGUAUUAGGAUUUUAUUAUUGUAAUUUGUUAAUUUAUAUGUACAUUUUUAAUAAAAUGUAUAUUAUGGAUAAUUUGAUCACUAUUUUUCAUAUGUAAUUUUAUUUUGAAUAUGUCAAUUUAAAUUAAAGUAAUUAAAAAAUAAAGCCAUACAAUUAAAUUAAAAUUUUAAAAAUUCAAAUAAUAUUGCGCUACCAAAUAUUUCAUCGCGUAAACAAUUACUAAAAUUAAACUAGGAUUUGCCUACACACUUUGUGUGUAUGAACACAUA